rnacentral:rRNA from 1 species
UACAGAGGGGGCGAGCGUUAUUCGGAAUUAUUGGGCGUAAAGGGCGCGUAGGCGGCCCGGUAAGUCAAAGGUGAAAUCCCUCGGCUCAACUGAGGAACUGCCUUUGAAACUGUCGGGCUUGAGGCCGGGAGGGGGUAGCGGAAUUCCCAGUGUAGCGGUGAAAUGCGUAGAUAUUGGGAGGAACACCGGUGGCGAAGGCGGCUACCUGGACCGGUUCUGACGCUGAUGCGCGAAAGCGUGGGUAGCAAACAGG